rnacentral:rRNA from 1 species
UACGUAGGUGGCAAGCGUUGUCCGGAAUUAUUGGGCGUAAAGCGCGUGUAGGCGGCUUUGCAAGUCGGGUGUGAAAGCCCUCAGCUCAACUGAGGAAGUGCGCCCGAAACUGCAGAGCUUGAGUGCCGGAGAGGGUGGCGGAAUUCCCCAAGUAGAGGUGAAAUUCGUAGAUAUGGGGAGGAACACCGGUGGCGAAGGCGGCCACCUGGACGGUUACUGACGCUGAGACGCGAAAGCGUGGGGAGCAAACAGG